GAUGAUCGCUGGCGGCGUGCCUAAUCCAUGCAAGUCGAGCGAACAGACGAGGAGCUUGCUCCACUGACGUUAGCGGCGGACGGGCGAGUAACACGUGGAUAACCUACCUAUAAGACUGGGAUAACUUCGUGAAACCGGAGCUAAUCCCGGUUAAUAUCUUUAACCGCAUGGUUCCAUAGUGAAAGACGGUUUUGCUGUCACUUAUAGAUGGAUCCGCGCCGCAUUAGCUAGUUGGUAAGGUAACGGCGUACCAAGGCAACGAUGCGUAGCCGACCUGAGAGGGUGAUCGGCCAUAGUGGUAGAGAGUGGCGCAGCAGAUUCCUAAGGAAGGCAGCGAUAGGGAAACUGCCGCCAAAUGCGAGGGCGGAAGGAGGGAACGCCUCCUGGGUAAUGAAGGGCUGCCGAGGCUAAGACGUGGUUAUUGGGGAAGAAUAACUGUGUAAGGAACUAUGCAUGACUUGACGGUACCUGAUCAGAAGGCCACGGCUAUGGACGUG
rnacentral:rRNA from 1 species